rnacentral:rRNA from 1 species
CAGUAGCCACGGGAACACGUAGGGUGCGAGCGUUAAUCGGAAUUACUGGGCGUAAAGCGUGCGCAGGCGGUUCGUUAAGACAGAUGUGAAAUCCCCGGGCUUAACCUGGGAACUGCAUUUGUGACUGGCGAGCUAGAGUAUGGCAGAGGGGGGUAGAAUUCCACGUGUAGCAGUGAAAUACGUAGAGAUGUGGAGGAAUACCGAUGGCGAAGGCAGCCCCCUGGGCCAAUACUGACGCUCAUGCACGAAAGCGUGGGGAGCAAACAGGAUUAGAUACCCCGGUAGUCCCUGUCUCUUAUAC